GAUCACUGCAACAAGUCCAAGAGUCCACUUGCUCCGCACCUUGCCCUUUCCUAGGUUUGGCUGCAAGAUACAACAAUUUGAGUAAGGACAGAGAUGGGAAGGCUGGGCUAGGCUCCACGACAGCUGAAGCUCAGAUGAGGGAACAAGACUUUCCCAACAUUUUCUGAAGUGAUAAGGAAACAAGAAGAGACAGGAAAGAGACAAGUUUCUAUUUCGUCAGAAACGAGAAGAGAACAGGCCAAGAGGAGAUGGCUCAGCACGUAAAGGCACCUGCCACCAAGCCUGACAACCUGAGGUUUUGGUCCUUGGACCCACAUGGUGGCGAAAUGGUGUGUGCACCUACCUACAUGCACACAUACAAAUAAAUAAAAAUGUAGUGAUUUUUUUUUUACUUUAA